rnacentral:rRNA from 1 species
GACGAACGCUGGCGGCGUGCUUAACACAUGCAAGUCGAACGCUGACGCUUGGUGCUUGCACUGGGUGGAUGAGUGGCGAACGGGUGAGUAAUACGUGAGUAACCUGCCCUUGACUCUGGGAUAAGCCUGGGAAACUGGGUCUAAUACUGGAUACGACAUGUCACCGCAUGGUGGUGUGUGGAAAGGGUUUUACUGGUUUUGGAUGGGCUCACGGCCUAUCAGCUUGUUGGUGGGGUAAUGGCUCACCAAGGCGACGACGGGUAGCCGGCCUGGGAGGGUGACCGGCCACACUGGGACUGCGGCACGGCCCAGACUCCAACGGGAGGCAGCAGUGGGGAAUAUUGCACAAUGGGCGGAAGCCUGAUGCAGCGACGCCGCGUGAGGGAUGACGUCCUGCGGGUUGUGAACCUCUGUCAGCACGGAAGAAGCGAAAGUGACGGUACGUGCAGAAGAAGCGCCGGCUAACUACGUG